UCCGUAGGUGAACCUGCGGAAGGAUCAUUAAUGAUACCGGCCCUCUUUUUUAAGAGUGGCCAAAUCUUACCCUAAACACAAGACUACGGAAAGCCCUACGAUGUAGCUGCUUGGCCGGAUUUGAAGGAGGGAGCAUGCGGCUUACGCCAAGUACUCUUCUCCGCCCCCCUUUUUACGAUGAAGAAUGUGAAAGAAUGAGAGAAUCUUGUCUUAGGACAACAAUCAUAAUACAACUUUUGACAACGGAUCUCUUGGUUCUCCCAUCGAUGAAGAACGCAGCGAAUUGCGAUAAGUAAUGUGAAUUGCAGAAUUCAGUGAAUCAUCGAAUCUUCGAACGCAUCUUGCGCCCUGAGGUAUUCCUAAGAGCAUGCCUGUUUGAGUGUCAUAAGCAUUCUCGAUUCCCAGCCUUCUUGUAACGAGAUGGCUGUUUGGAGUCGGUGAUGGGCGCUUGCCAGAUUGCCCUAGCAGCAUCUGGCUCGCCUGAAAUGCAUGAGUGGCCUCCCAAUAGCUUACUGGUCCGACUAUGUGUGAUAAUUAUGAUCACAUAGGAUGUGCGCAAGUACAACCAGUCUGUGAACGGAUGGUAGCUUCCAACCCGAGUGCUCUUUGCACCUUGGCUUUGUAAUCUGACCUCAAAUCAGUAGACUACCCGCUGAACUUAAGCAUAUCAAUAAGCGGGAGGA
rnacentral:rRNA from 1 species